rnacentral:SRP_RNA from 1 species
UCGUGCUAGGCGGGGUGCUAGGGGUGCCCUGUACCCGAAACCCUCUUGAUGCGGGGCCGAAUCCCCCGCCCGAGGGUGCCAAUGGUCGGGUCAGCGCCGGACACGUGGUGUCGAAGGCCGGGUCCUACGCGGCGGGGAAUCGUGAAUCGGGUCAGAUCCGGAAGGAAGCAGCCCUAAGCGAGGUACCCGGGUGCCGUAGGGCAGCCUGGCUGGAGCCGGCGGUCCGGAACGCGCCGGUUGUGGGCGCUCGACGGCGGGGUGCACGA